AUAUAUCGGAACGUACCCAAGAGUGGGGGAUAACGUAGCGAAAGUUACGCUAAUACCGCAUACGAUCUAAGGAUGAAAGCAGGGGAUCUUCGGACCUUGUGCUCCUGGAGCGGCCGAUAUCUGAUUAGCUAGUUGGUGAGGUAAAGGCUCACCAAGGCUACGAUCAGUAGCUGGUCUGAGAGGACGACCAGCCACACUGGAACUGAGACACGGUCCAGACUCCUACGGGAGGCAGCAGUGGGGAAUUUUGGACAAUGGGCGAAAGCCUGAUCCAGCAAUGCCGCGUGAGUGAAGAAGGCCUUCGGGUUGUAAAGCUCUUUUGUCAGGGAAGAAACGGUGAGGGCUAAUAUCCUUCGCUAAUGACGGUACCUGAAGAAUAAGCACCGGCUAACUACGUGCCAGCAGCCGCGGUAAUACGUAGGGUGCAAGCGUUAAUCGGAAUUACUGGGCGUAAAGCGUGCGCAGGCGGUUUUGUAAGUCUGACGUGAAAUCCCCGGGCUCAACCUGGGAAUUGCGUUGGAGACUGCAAGGCUAGAAUCUGGCAGAGGGGGGUAGAAUUCCACGUGUAGCAGUGAAAUGCGUAGAGAUGUGGAGGAACACCGAUGGCGAAGGCAGCCCCCUGGGUCAAGAUUGACGCUCAUGCACGAAAGCGUGGGGAGCAAACAGGAUUAGAUACCCUGGUAGUCCACGCCCUAAACGAUGUCUACUAGUUGUCGGGUUUUAAUUAACUUGGUAACGCAGCUAACGCGUGAAGUAGACCGCCUGGGGAGUACGGUCGCAAGAUUAAAACUCAAAGG
rnacentral:rRNA from 2 species